UACGUAGGGUGCAAGCGUUAAUCGGAAUUACUGGGCGUAAAAGCGUGCGCAGGCGGUUUUUGUAAGUCUGUCGUGAAAUCCCCCGGGCUCAACCUGGGAAUUGCGAUGGAGACUGCAAGGCUAGAAUCUGGCAGAGGGGGUAGAAUUCCACGUGUAGCAGUGAAAUGCGUAGAGAUGUGGAGGAACACCGAUGGCGAAGGCAGCCCCCCUGGGUCAAGAUUGACGCUCAUGCACGAA
rnacentral:rRNA from 1 species